GAAAGACCUAGCCGCUUAGCCAAUCAAAAUCGAGGACCGGAACUAACUGUUGUUGCUGUUUGUGUGUUCUGUUUUCAAAUUCUUACCAAGAAAACACGACCGACUGAAAGUCAUGGAUAUUCAUGCAGAAACAGUCUGCAGGUGUUAAUGGACUUCUUCACUCGUCCAUCUCAGAGGGAUAGAGACCUUGUUAUUCAUACCCACCAUGGGAUUGCAGCAAAGGCACGUAUGAAGAUGUAUUUCCAGUUUUGAGCAAAAUACCCUAUGGACACCUUGAAAUCUGAGAAAGGAGAAAAAGAGAGCGUGUGACCUGUUGGAACUGGCAGUGAAUUUGUCUGUUUCAUCCAGUUGGCCGUGCAGAGAGAAAUACGAGCUCUUGCUAAGAAGUCAAGCAACCUUGUUUAAUUUGUGUUGACCUGGAAAACAGAGAAUGACUGUUUUUUAUUUUGAUUUUAUUAUCCAAUCAGCCAUUGUUGGAGGCUUUUUUAUAGUAUCAGAUGCUGAUUGUGACUUUCGUGUCCCAUGUCACCGGCACAGCAGCAUUAUAUUAGGCACACCAGGUGCAGGAAGAUAGACAAAGAAAGGAAGAAUAAAAAGGACAUGUAUAUCAGUUUGAGAUGUUUGUAUAGACUUUUGUGACUGAUGUAAACCAUUCCCCGGUUAUUAACUGUACCACCCAUCUCCACCCUUACUGCAGCCAUUCAUUUUUUCUGCAGUUCACACAAGGAUUGUACAUCACUAUGGUGACUGAAGCAUUAAAUCUGUUGUGUAAGAGCUAUUU